AUGGGAACAUUCCGGACGAUAUUGAUAGCAAGUUCCCCAAGUUGUAUUAUCUUGGCUUGGGCACCAUUCACUUCACAGGAACCAUCCCUUCCUCAGUAUCCAACAUAUCUUCCCUUGAAACAAUUGGCCUCGACCACAAUGGAUUUAGCGGGUACGUGCCUCCCACAUUGGGCAUUGGGGAAGCUGGGAGCUCUCCGGUCAAUGAACCUGGCUGCCAAUAAGCUUGAAGCGAAUGACAACGAUGGGUGGGAGUUCAUCGCUUCUUUGGCAAACUGCAGCAAACUGAGGUCGUUGGAACUCAGCAUCAAUCCCUUUGGAGGACAACUACCUGGUUCAGUUGUGAACCUCACAACGACUCUCCGCUACUUGCAACUGAUGGACAAUAGGAUCUCUGGGAGUAUCCCUGCGGACAUCGGCAAUCUGGUUGGUCUGGAAGUGCUUGGGAUAGCAAAUACCUCCAUAUCCGGAGUGAUUCCAGAGAGCAUCGGUAAGCUAGAGAACUUGGUCGCGAGCUAG
rnacentral:rRNA from 1 species